rnacentral:rRNA from 1 species
ACCGAUUGCCGCGUUCGCGGACNANUCCUCCUUCGAGUCGGGUUGUUCGCUAAUGCAGCCCCAAGCAGGUGGUAAGCUCCAUCUAAAGCUAAAUAUAACCACGAGCCCGAUAGUCAACAAGUACAGUGAUGGAAAGUUGAAAAGUACUCUGAAGAGAGAGUCAAAUAGCCCGUGAAGCUGCCAGUAUGGGAUUAAGCGCACGUAUGACGCGUGUCGUCGGCCAAAUAGGCGACUGUUGGGUGUGCACACUGCGUGUGACUGUUGGCGGGCGUCUACGCUCGUCGGCU